rnacentral:rRNA from 1 species
CCUACGGGAGGCUGCAGUCGAGAAUCAUUCACAAUGGGGGAAACCCUGAUGGUGCGACGCCGCGUGGGGGAAUGAAGGUCUUCGGAUUGUAAACCCCUGUCAUGUGGGAGCAAAUUAAAAAGAUAGUACCACAAGAGGAAGAGACGGCUAACUCUGUGCCAGCAGCAGCGGGAAUACAGAGGUCUCAAGCGUUGUUCGGAAUCACUGGGCGUAAAGCGUGCGUAGGCUGUUUCGUAAGUCGUGUGUGAAAGGCGCGGGCUCAACCCGCGGACGGCACAUGAUACUGCGAGACUAGAGUAAUGGAGGGGGAACCGGAAUUCUCGGUGUAGCAGUGAAAUGCGUAGAUAUCGAGAGGAACACUCGUGGCGAAGGCGGGUUCCUGGACAUUAACUGACGCUGAGGCACGAAGGCCAGGGGAGCGAAAGGGAUUAGAUACCCCAGUAGUC